AGAAGAAAACGAGUUAGAAUUGUCACAAAUGUGGAAAUACGAAGAAAGCAGAUUAAGUCAAGGUGAACAUGGAAACAUUAUCCAAGAGACAGAAGAAGAAAAAACGCGAGAGAAAAGAAAAACUAGUUCACACAGAGGAUCUCCACAAAAGCGAAUGUUCACGUCGGUGAAUAAAGGCAUAAAGAAAGAUGUGAAGAAGUAUUACUAGGUGGCAGUCAUAUUGUUUAUCCACACAUUGUCAUAUAUUUGAAUGUGUUUAAUCCUCAUUGUUAUUAAGUACUCAUUACUAAGUUUUAGAAACAUAUUUCUUUACACGCAAGCACAAAAGAUUUCACAAGUGUUUAAUUGUUGAGCAAUAUUACCCGUUUGUGUUUUGUUUUGUUGUUUUGGGGUUUUUAGUUGGGUUUUGUUUUGGUUUUUCGUGGGUGUUUUUUUUUUAAAUGUUUUUAUGUGAUUUUCCAAAAUUUUACAAAACAGUAUAGUACAAUACAGUCUCAUUCUCAUCACACACACACACGCGCGCACACUAGUAAAAUGUAAUAACACUGUAGGGCACCGACCAAGAUACACAGACGCACAAGCACACACAUGCAUAUAUAUAAACAGGAAAAAAAACAAUCGGGCACCACCUAAGGAUUCCAGCAGCCAAAAUUAGGGUAACUGAAAACUGAAAAUAGUGCUUUCAUGCUUAAAAAUGCACAUAGAACAUAACUAAAAGAUUUGUUUUUCAAUCAGAAUAGCCCACCACAACUGGGUUAUUUAUUGUACAGGAAAUAUAGAUAUCAUUAUCUUAGCAAGUUUUAGAUCAUCAAACAAUUUCAUCAUUUUUGAAAAUGUUAACCAGUUAUUUAAUCAGAUAACUAUAUUAAUUAUUAUUCACAAUUCUUAUCCGAGCAACCCACAUCUUGGGCGGGUGGUGGUCUAGUGGUAAAGGUGUUGGUCGCUCAACCUGCGGGCCGUGGGUUCGAGCCCUUCUUUGGUAACGACCACACCUUUUCAUAUAACACCAGUUAAGCCGACCGGGGAGUAAUUUAUACUUAAUCGAGCUGUAAUAAAUUGCUAUUUACUACUUGUGCGAAAUGAAAUGGAAGAUUAGUUUAGAAGUAUUCAGACUUAAACACUAAACUCAAGCUUUUAAUUAUCGUUGAAAGAUAACUUUCUGGUUGCUAUUUCGUUCUUACAUGUUAGAUCGAUAUUUUCAAAAGAAUUUACAAAAUGCUGUAAACGUAUUUAUUUAUAGAAAGCUUGAUCUUUGUUUUGAUAAUAUAUUCUUCUCUGAGGAAAAUGUUUAAGCCCAGUAAAAUAAUGUCUAAUAACAGAACCCAACUGCAUAAAAAGUGUAGUUUCAACUCCAAAUAACAAAUAACUGCUGCAUUGAGUGUAUAUCUAGCGGCACUUAUAAAAUAUUACAUAGUAUUUUGCAAGACACGAAUACCAGAAACAUAAAUAACCCCUCCCUAUUAGGGCACUAUAGUUAAAGACCAGCAGGACGGAGACAUGUUACAGUUUUGUAAGUGUUGUAUACUUUAAACCAUGAAGUGAUUAACCAUUUUUAUAAUUAAGCCAAGUAGAUCUACUUCUUGGCAAAUGUCUUUGUUACUUUGGUAACAGUCUAAAACAGAACAUGUAUAUUGACAAAAUCUGUGAUUCUUUAGAAACAUAAAACCUAACAAAGCAACUCGAAUUGAGCAUGAGAAGUAAUGAAAUGUGCAAAACUCUUCAAUCCGGAUUAAGUGGAAAUCGAUAAUAGUCAACAUGAAUGUUCUCCAUAAUCCAAAAGGAUUACAAAAUAUACAGAAAAUAAAAACAUGGAGUCCCAGUACGGAGGGUUACCUAAUCAUAUACACAUUUCCUUUUCUUCCUUUAUCCCACUCUCAUAGUUAACAAGGUUAACCACAACCGGUUAGCUAUUUAGGAAUUUAUAAUCUGGACGCAUGAUAUUUGUUGCAAUAAAGAUUAUACCUCUCCGAUGUUUCAUCUUCCUCAUGCCUGUUAUCUCCGAAGGAGAUGUUAUUUCUGUAAUUUUCUACAGUAUAUUCAUGUCCUGUUGUACUUCGACAUCAAUAAGUGUUUUUUUUAGAUCGAAUAUAUAUGUACUGCGCUUGUGCCAAAUUACUUGACACUGAUAUAUAAUGGCAGUUGCACUGCUAUCUCCUUGCAUUCGACUAAAUUUAUCUACUUCAAAUAUAACAUUCAUUUCCAACAUAUUUACUUAAUUCAAACACAAUCUUACGUUUCUUUUCUGAAUGUCUUUUAUUUCCCUUUGGUAGCAUCAAUUAGGAUUUUAAAUAAACAUAAACUUCAUCAUGAUUUUGUCAUUGUUUCCAGUAACACACUGUUUGCACAACUGAGAAUCAGUAUCGACAUAUGCAAAUAUCUGCGAUGCAUUAUUAAUAUCAUUUUGUGUCCAUGUAUCUUGUAUCUUCUGAAAGUAUCUAAUAUUGGAUCAUGUUACUGACUUCUUAAAAGAUGAGUUGACUGUGAAAUACCAUAGAAUACUGUAAUUAGAGUGAUUUAAUCAUGCUUGUUUGCUUUCUUUUAUAUCUGUUGGAAUCCAGUCAUGUCAUAUGAAAUCCUAGCUUUGCAAAUGGAAUAGUUGAAGUUGUAUUGAAAUAUACUGAUUAACAUCUGUCAUUUUUGAUUCUAGGCAUUUUUGAAAUUAGGUAUUUGUAAAUUGUGUAUUUUAUACCAUUGUAUAUUGUUUUUUACUACUUUCUGUUAUUUCGGAAUAAACUUUUAAUAUGUAUUCGUAUCUUUAUGCGCCAGGAAGGUGCCAAAGCCUUUUGCAGUUAAUGUAUGUGUACAUUAUUAUCAAAUCGCACUUUAGUCUGGUUUAAUAGUCUUAACUAUCAAACUUUAUCUUUCCUGAGUUGCAAUUCAUAUUUGGCAAACCCUAUAUAGGUUAAAAGAAUCCCUGUUCAAAGCAGAAUAAAUAUAUGUUGUUAUUUUUACAGGAUCCGUUUUGUGUUGUGUUUGAGUGCUGUAAGGUGUAGUUAUUAUUCUUGUCACUACACUUCCUUUCAUCAUACAUUUUGUCCAUAGUAUUAGUUAAUGUCGUAACGAAUAAUAUAUUCUUCCCAUAUGUAUUGAUUUGUAUAAAGUUUCGUGUUUAGCUUUUACAGUUGUCUCGUAAUUUUCAUGUUUGUCAAUACCAAAGGAUCAGCUGGCCCUCAUGAAAGUCAUUAGAAAUAUAUUUAUAAUACCGAUCAUUACAACGUGAUAUACGUGUAAGAGUAACAACUGCUUGUUACUUAAAAUAAUAAAAGUAAACGAGAAACAAACCAGUAAAUAUUAACAAUAACAACGUUUAUUAUGAAAACUAAUAAUUCAGAUACCUUAAAAUGUUAACUAGCCAUAAAGUCCAAUCUAAUUAAUAUGCAAGAAUGGUCCAAAUCCUGUCAUGGUGAAAUCUAAAUCCAAUCAUUAAUAAUUCCUAAUUUCACAAAAACCAAACUGAAUUUAGUAUAUCCAAGAUUUUACUUAGGUUCUGCCAUGUUCUACUUAAUGGAAUGUUCCAGCACUUUGAUGUAUCACCAAGAAUAAAAAGAAGAUUCUAGAAAAAUCCAGAAUAACCCAGUUUUUUAAAAUAAUGUAAAUAUCCCGGUUAUCAUUACUAGUAUUUGUGACAACAAUAGAAUAUUAAAACACUUACUGACAUAUACGAUGUCUUAAAAUCAGGUCAUGCUUUGCAGAAAACUAUGAGUCUUCAAAAUAGUAAAUAAUAAAGUGAAGGCAUGAACAUAACAGUAGAAUAUUAAAUGUAAGAUAGCUUUAACAUAAAGGAAUCUCUCGUGUUUUUGUUAUUAAAUACAUGUAAUGCUACUUGUUUGUCGUUUAUAUGAGGUUCAAAUUUAAUCAAAGUAUAUACAAUGUCGAGGAAUUUUGGUAAGAAAGAAGAUACAGUUACAAAAAUAUAGUUGUGUAACAAUGGCCAGGAAAGCUUGCCAUGAUAGUUUAAUCCCUGCUAGGUUUUUAAAUAUAUAUCUUAGUACUUUUUAAUUAAACGUUGAUGAUUGAAAUGUCAUUUUUCAAAGUGCUUGGAUGGGCCGAAUCAAAAUGUAAUUCAAAAUGGCUGAUUUCUGCCAGCUUUAUGUUAGCGUGUUGGGGCGGGAACCAGAACGAAGAGACCUAAAAGUCUUUUGACUCGGCGCCCAUGGUAACGCGCCAACGCGCCAUCAAGAAAACUCUUGUAGUUAAUUCGUGGCUCCCGCGCCAACACGAUAACAUAAAACUGGCACAAAUUAGCCACCAUAGUACCCCUUGAGGUAAUGCAGGUUGAACAAUUCUUGCAAAACCUAUGACAAUUAUUUUUUAAGAAUGAGUAGCUUUGAUAUUUUACAUGGAACUAUGACUACGAGAUACAUGUAUUACAACAUUGUGCAACUCCUCGUAUUGUAUUGUUCCAGGAGCCUUGUAUGUAUAUAUGAAUUUGUUCGUACAAAAACCAGGACGGUAUAAUACAUGUAGUUAGGUAGAAGUGUAUAUAGCACGCUUACUUCAUGGUUAAAGUUACAAGUGUAGCAUGCAAUGAAUUACUAGAGGUUUUCAGAAGGGAUUUGGCCUAUUUAAAGGGUAACAAAAUAAACAUACAUAUUUUCUUGCAAA
rnacentral:lncRNA from 1 species